GACAGAGGGUGCAAACGUUGUUCGGAUUUACUGGGCGUAAAGCGCGUGUAGGCGGCUUGGCAAGUUGGAUGUGAAAGCCCACGGCUCAACCGUGGAAGAGCAUCCAAAAACUGCUUCGCUCGAGUCUCGGGAGAGGAAGGUGGAAUGCUUGGUGUAGAGGUGAAAAUUCGUAGAUAUCAAAGCAGAACACCUGCGGCGAAGGCGGCCUUCUGGACGAUGACUGACGUGGAGACGCGAAAAGCGUGGGGGAGCAAAACAGG
rnacentral:rRNA from 1 species